UGAGCCUACGGGGGGCAGCAGUUAGGAAUAUUCGGCAAUGGGGGAAACCCUGACCGAGCAAUGCCGCGUGUGAGAUGAAGGCCCUAUGGGUUGUAAAUCACUUUUAUUUGGGAAGAACUGUAAGUAGAGGAAAUGAUACUUACUUGACGGUACCUUUUGAAUAAGCCCCGGCUAACUACGUGCCAGCAGCCGCGGUAAUACGUAGGGGGCAAGCGUUAUCCGGAUUUACUGGGUGUAAAGGGAGCGUAGACGGCGAAGAAAGUCUGAAGUGAAAGCCCGCGGCUCAACCGCGGAAUGGCUUUGGA
rnacentral:rRNA from 1 species